AAGGUCCCAAGGGUUUGGCUGUUCGCCAAUUAAAGUGGUACGCGAGCUGGGUUCAGAACGUCGUGAGACAGUUUGGCCUCUAUCCUCCGUGAUCCCCUAGAAACGUGAAGGAAGCUGCUCCUAGUACGAGAGGACCGGAGUGGACGAACCUCUGGUGUACCUGCUGUCGUGUCAACGGCACCGCAGGAUAGCUACGUUCGGCAGGGAUAACCGCUGAAGGCAUCUAAGUGGGAAGCCCCUCCUAAGAUUGCGUUUCUCCAUCAGUCCGCCGGAAGACGACCGGUUAGAUCGGCCACAGGUGUACGCACGGUGACGUGCUUAGCCGAGUGGUACGAAUGG
rnacentral:rRNA from 1 species